rnacentral:pre_miRNA from 1 species
AGCCACUGCUUGCUACUGGAGCAUCAUCAAGAUUCACAACCCCACCCACGGACUACCAAAAAGCUUUCAUCUUUUCAUCAUGACGUUGUGGGUAUUGGGAAUCUUGAUGAUGCUGCAGCGGCAAUCACUGCCU